UCUACGGGAGGCAGCAGUGGGGAAUAUUGCGCAAUGGGCGAAAGCCUGACGCAGCGACGCCGCGUGAGGGAUGAAGGUCUUCGGAUCGUAAACCUCUGUCAGCAGGGAAGAACGGUCACUGUGCUAAUCAGCAGUGAAUUGACGGUACCUGCAAAGGAAGCACCGGCUAACUCCGUGCCAGCAGCCGCGGUAAUACGGAGGGUGCGAGCGUUAAUCGGAAUUACUGGGCGUAAAGCGCUCGUAGGCGGUAUGUCAAGUCAAGGGUGAAAUCCCCGCGCUCAACGUGGGAAGUGCCUUUGAAACUGGCAAACUGGAGUGUGUGAGAGGAUAGUGGAAUUCCAGGUGUAGGAGUGAAAUCCGUAGAUAUCUGGAGGAACAUCAGUGGCGAAGGCGACUAUCUGGCACAUAACUGACGCUGAGGAGCGAAAGCGUGGGUAGCAAACAGGAUUAGAUACCCCAGUAGUC
rnacentral:rRNA from 1 species